GACGAACGCUGGCGGCGUGGAUUAGGCAUGCAAGUCGAACGGUAGGAUACCUUCGGGUAUCUGAGAGUGGCGAACGGGUGAGUAACACGUAGGUGAUCUACCCUCAAGAUUGGGACAACCCAGGGAAACUUGGGCUAAUACCGGAUGAAAGCAGCAGUGAUGUUGUUUGAAAGGUGGCGUAAGCUGCCGUUUGGGGAUGAGCCUGCGCUCUAUUAGUUAGUUGGCGGGGUAAAGCCCACAAGGCGAUGAUAGAUAGGCGGCCUUAACGGGUGGUCGCCCACACUGGGAUUGAGAUACGGCCCAGACUCCUACGGGAGGCAGCAGUCGAGAAUAGUCUACAAUGGCCGAAAGGCUGAUAGUGCGACGCCGCGUGAACGAAGAAGCCCUUCGGGUGUAAAGUUCUUUUAUAUGUGAGCAGUGCUUUCUAUGUGAACAGCAUGGGAGAGAGAUAUUAGCAUAUGAAUAAGCAACGGCUAACUCCGUGCCAGCACG
rnacentral:rRNA from 1 species